UAAAAGUUUUUUUGGCUGAUCAACAAAAUCUAUAAGCAUGUGUUCAAACAAAAGUAAGACCAGCGGGUUGGUCUAGUAGUUGAGAGCUCUCAUAUUAAACGCGAUAUUUGGAUUUGAACAUAUUAAAUGCGAUACUUGAAUUUGAGUUUUAUUAUUGCAAAAUACAAUUUUUUAUUAUCCUUUCCCCUCCUGACCAUACAUAUAUAUAUACAUAUAUGCUUUGACAAAAACACCCUUCCUAAGAAAUUGCUACAAUUAUACCUUUGUCUAUAAUAAAACUCAGUAAAACUCCGCAAUUCAGCAUGUGGAUUUCAAAAGUAGUCAAGUCUAGCUAAAUUGGCAAUUCGGCACCGUCGAAGGAGAAAAAAAAACACGGUUUGAAUUUGUGAAGGCAAUUACUUGAAUGUUCUUUUUCAUUUCAUAAAUUCCUCAAUAAACUCAUAAUCUAAACAUACCAUAAAGGGAAUUUUUAUGAUCCAAUUCAUUAGUUGGUAGGACUCGUUGAACAGAUCUUCUACGCAAAAAGUCUCAUUAAUCAGACUUUAACAGCCUCAUGAUUCUUGCACUUACAAAAAAUGAAUAGCAAAUAUAAUUUUUUAAAGAACCUACAAGACAAAUAUUCUUUGAACAUGAGACUAAUGAUGUCUGAUCGAGUUGAUUUUUUUCAUAACUUGCAUAUUGAGCACACUGUACAAAUGAACAAUUUAAAUUAUAAAUACAAGUCAAUAAUAAGCCCAUACAAAGGCACUAAAAUGUUGUAGUGCUUGGUGGCACUACAAAAAACCCAAAUCUCUUUAACUGCUAUCAUGUUUGAGAAAUCUUACGUUCCCAAAAUUUGAAUUAAGAUUUUUUUUUUAGAAUUUAAAAUAAAAGUUAAAAUUCACUUUAGCGUGUGAAUUCCACAUAAAUAAGUAAAUCUGUUUUAUUUCUUUUAAAUUUUAAAAAAUUUUCUUGUCGAAAUUCUUAAAUUGUAACAUUGCUAUUAACUUUUUGACUUUUUUUUCUCUACUUCAUUUUUGGUAUUCAUCUUAGGUAACCUUUUUACAGUUUUUUAUAUAACUUUUUUUUACUUUGUCAUGACUAGAUAAAAUUAAAAAAUAAACAAACCAAGAUCAAAGUGAAGCAAAAUUCCAAAACAUUGGACAUUCCAACAACAAAAAUGCUUCACCGCUGCCGCCGUUGAGACAAGGAUUUCGGCUCCUUCAAUCUUCCAAUUCAUUUACGGGGUCCUCAGGCUCACAGACAGCUGUGAAAGGGAAAAACUGGUUAGUGGUGGCCCACACACGGCUGACUCCUCUUUACUUCUUCACCCAAAAAGGGAAUUCGUAUCCCCUAUCCCAAUUGGGCUGUCCCAAUAAAAUCUCUCCUGAUAAAUUGCAAAAGAAUAUGUGUCAUUCAUUGGGUAGUAAGAUCGGGGGUUGGGAUAGAGGAAUUGGGUUCGGGGAUUCCUUGCCCCGAAAAGAGAGAGAAAGCAAAUUCUAGAAAGAUUUGGCGGUGGUCGUAUAGGAUUUUAAUAUUUUUCAUUCACCUGCACAUCACCUUCCUUGUAAGCCAAUCGAAAGUGAUAGUGUACCCACCCGAAUUGAUAGUGAUUUGCACUUCUAUUCGUGGAUUUUAGGUACAUAGUAUGAAAGUGUAAAUUACUAAUUUUUAUUAUUCACCACGAGAACAUAUACCGUUCAUUUCUCAAUGUAAGCUGUCCAUCCUAUUAUUUACUUUUAUUAUUUUUAAAAACGAACUGCACAGUGUAAAUUUAUUUGUUAAAUUUCCUUAAAUUAGAUGACAUAUAUAUUUAUACAUUCUCGAAAUUAAAAUUCUGAAUUUAUUCUUGAGCCGAUUAUACCUCAAUCGUUGAUUAUCACCGUUGUAAUAAAUUGUUUUUUGUGCUUCCAAUGUGAAUUCAAGCUAUCAUUUGUUUUUCAAAUGUUGAUAAAGGAUUUCUAGAUAUGAGAGAGAAGUACUGAGGGAAGACUUUAGAAAAGUUGGGGUCAACAAGUUAUACACAUGGAUGACCAACGCUUUUGAAAUUACCAAAUUAGGUUAAUAUAUUAGUCAAAAUUAUUGUUUUUGACUAAUAGAUUUUUUUAUUAAAAUUAACAAUGAUUUUUUUUGAGCUGCUUGAUUUUUGAGGUGUCAUCAAAAUUUUAUACUUUUUUGAUUCCUCUUGAUGAAAAGAGCUCGAAAAUAUAAAAUUUUUUAUCGAAUUUAAAAAAUAAUUCUAUGAAGACCAAAAGAACCAUUUUUAGAUAGUUUUUUAGGGAUAAAACUAAUUUUUUCGCCUUUAGUGAUUUGUUUUUAAAUUAGAUGCAAAUUUUAAUAUUUUCAUAUUUCUCUCGUUAAUAUGAACUAAUUUUUUUAUUAAACUUUUAAAAAAACCACUAAAAAUAAAAUAACUCAGAAAACUAAAUCAGCCAAACGUUAGUUGUACAUCUUUUGAUAGUUAUUUACUUUUUCAUGUUUGGAAUGUAUUUUUUACUUUUUCUUCUUCAAGUCAUUAAUA
rnacentral:lncRNA from 1 species